GGAAUUUUGUUAAAAUGCAGAAUCCAUUUCUGUAGCUCUGAGACUAGACCUGAGGUUGUGCAUUUCUAACAAAGUGCC
ensembl:miRNA MIR544B microRNA 544b